rnacentral:rRNA from 1 species
AUUGAACGCUGGCGGCAGGCCUAGCACAUGCAAGUCGAGCGGAUGAAGGGAGCUUGCUCCUGGAUUCAGCGGCGGACGGGUGAGUAAUGCCUAGGAAUCUGCCUGGUAGUGGGGGAUAACGUCCGGAAACGGGCGCUAAUACCGCAUACGUCCUGAGGGAGAAAGUGGGGGAUCUUCGGACCUCACGCUAUCAGAUGAGCCUAGGUCGGAUUAGCUAGUUGGUGGGGUAAAGGCCUACCAAGGCGACGAUCCGUAACUGGUCUGAGAGGAUGAUCAGUCACACUGGAACUGAGACACGGUCCAGACUCCUACGGGAGGCAGCAGUGGGGAAUAUUGGACAAUGGGCGAAAGCCUGAUCCAGCCAUGCCGCGUGUGUGAAGAAGGUCUUCGGAUUGUAAAGCACUUUAAGUUGGGAGGAAGGGCAGUAAGUUAAUACCUUGCUGUUUCGACGUUACCAACAGAAUAAGCACCGGCUAACUUCGUG